UACGUAGGGUGCAAGCGUUGUCCGGAAUUAUUGGGCGUAAAGAGCUCGUAGGCGGUUUGUUGCGUCGGCUGUGAAAUCCCGAGGCUCAACCUCGGGUCUGCAGUCGAUACGAGCAAACUAGAGUGUUGCAGGGGAGACUGGAAUUCCUGGUGUAGCGGUGAAAUGCGCAGAUAUCAGGAGGAACACCGGUGGCGAAGGCGGGUCUCUGGGCAACAACUGACGCUGAGGCUCGAAAGCGUGGGGAGCAAACAGG
rnacentral:rRNA from 1 species